rnacentral:sRNA from 1 species
AUACUGGUGGGGAGUUUUACCGUUGUGUCCCCUUGCUGUAUCUUGUUCGCGCAGCGUGUCCGCAGGACAUAGGAGAGCGAUGUUACAGAUGCAGACAGUAG